rnacentral:rRNA from 1 species
UGCAAGUUCGAGCGGAUGAUUAAGAGCUUGCUCUUCGAUUCAGCGGCGGACGGGUGAGUAAUACCUAGGAAUCUGCCUGGUAGUGGGGGACAACGUUUCGAAAGGAACGCUAAUACCGCAUACGUCCUACGGGAGAAAGCAGGGGACCUUCGGGCCUUGCGCUAUCAGAUGAGCCUAGGUCGGAUUAGCUAGUUGGUGAGGUAAUGGCUCACCAAGGCUACGAUCCGUAACUGGUCUGAGAGGAUGAUCAGUCACACUGGAACUGAGACACGGUCCAGACUCCUACGGGAGGCAGCAGUGGGGAAUAUUGGACAAUGGGCGAAAGCCUGAUCCAGCCAUGCCGCGUGUGUGAAGAAGGUCUUCGGAUUGUAAAGCACUUUAAGUUGGGAGGAAGGGCAGUAAGCGAAUACCUUGCUGUUUUGACGUUACCGACAGAAUAAGCACCGGCUAACUCUGUGCCAGCAGCCGCGGUAAUACAGAGGGUGCAAGCGUUAAUCGGAAUUACUGGGCGUAAAGCGCGCGUAGGUGGUUCGUUAAGUUGGAUGUGAAAUCCCCGGGCUCAACCUGGGAACUGCAUACAAAACUGGCGAGCUAUAAUAGGGCAAAGGGUGGUGGAAAUUCCUGAGGAGCGGCGAAAUGCGUUUAUAUAGGAAGG